AACGAACGCUGGCGGCAUGCCUAACACAUGCAAGUCGAACGAUCCCUUCGGGGGUAGUGGCGCACGGGUGCGUAACGCGUGGGAACCUGCCCUUAGGUUCGGAAUAACUCAGAGAAGUUUGAGCUAAUACCGGAUAAUGUCUUCGGACCAAAGAUUUAUCGCCUUUGGAUGGGCCCGCGUUGGUUUAGCUGGUUGGUGGGGUAAAGGCCUACCAAGGCGACGAUCCAUAGCUGGUCUGAGAGGAUGAUCAGCCACACUGGGACUGAGACACGGCCCAGACUCCUACGGGAGGCAGCAGUGGGUAAUAUUGGACAAUGGGCGAAAGCCUGAUCCAGCAAUGCCGCGUGAGUGAUGAAGGCCUUAGGGUUGUAAAGCUCUUUUACCCGGGAUGAUAAUGACAGUACCGGGAGAAUAAGCCCCGGCUAACUCCGUG
rnacentral:rRNA from 1 species